GACGAACGCUGGCGGCGUGCUUAACACAUGCAAGUCGAACGGAAAGGCCUGCUUUCCCUUGUGGAUUGCGGGUACUCGAGUGGCGAACGGGUGAGUAACACGUGAGUGAUCUGCCCCCAACUUGGGUAUAAGCCUGGGAAACUGGGUCUAAUUCCCGAUAGGACUGCAGGGUGGUGCCUGUGGUGGAAAACGAUUUUCUAGUGGUUGGGGAUGAGCUCGCGGCCUAUCGGCUUGUUGGUGGGGUAAUGGCCUACCAAGGCGGCGACGGGUAGCCGGCCUGAGAGGGUGGACGGCCACAUUGGGACUGAGAUACGGCCCAGACUCCUACGGGAGGCAGCAGUGGGGAAUAUUGCACAAUGGGCGGAAGCCUGAUGCAGCGACGCCGCGUGGGGGAUGACGGCCUUCGGGUGGUAAACUCCUUUCGACCGCGAGGAAGCCGCCUGGUUGGAAGGGUGGUGACGGUAGUGGUAGAAGAAGCACCGGCUAACUACGUG
rnacentral:rRNA from 1 species